GUAAAAGACCUCCUACGACUAUAUUUAUGACCUCCUACGACCAUGUCUACGACCACGUCCACGGCCUCCUACGACCCACCUCGACCUCAGUGUUCCACACCUAAAAUCAACUACGACUAGCUACGAAUGGAAAAUGAUCACAUGAUAAAAUGAUGUCAUGUUUGCAUUUUUUUCUCGGGCCAGUUACCGACCUACG